rnacentral:rRNA from 1 species
CCUAGUAGCGGCGAGCGAGCGGGAAGAGCUCAAAUUUAUAAUCUGGCACCUUCGGUGUCCGAGUUGUAAUCUCUAGAAGUGUUUUCCGCGUUGGACCGCACACAAGUCUGUUGGAAUACAGCGGCAUAGUGGUGAAACCCCCGUAUAUGGUGCGGACGCCCAGCGCUUUGUGAUACACUUUCAAUGAGUCGAGUUGUUUGGGAAUGCAGCUCAAAUUGGGUGGUAAAUUCCAUCUAAAGCUAAAUAUUGGCGAGAGACCGAUAGCGAACAAGUACCGUGAGGGAAAGAUGAAAAGCACUUUGGAAAGAGAGUUAACAGUACGUGAAAUUGUUGGAAGGGAAACGCUUGAAGUCAGACUUGCUUGCCGGAGCUUGCUUCGGUUUGCAGGCCAGCAUCAGUUUUCCGGGGUGGAUAAUGACGGUUUGAAGGUAGCAGUCUCGGCUGUGUUAUAGCUUUCCGUUGGAUACAUCCUGGGGGACUGAGGAACGCAGCGUGCUUUUUGCGAAAGACUCGUCUUUUUCACGCUUAGGAUGCUGGUGGAAUGGCUUUAAACGACCCGUCUUGAAACACGGACCA